GGAGUUUGAUCCUGGCUCAGGACGAACGCUGGCGGCGUGCCUAAUACAUGCAAGUCGAGCGGACAGAUGGGAGCUUGCUCCCUGAUGUUAGCGGCGGACGGGUGAGUAACACGUGGGUAACCUGCCUGUAAGACUGGGAUAACUCCGGGAAACCAGGGCUAAUACCGGAUGGUUGUUUGAACCGCAUGGUUCAAACAUAAAAGGUGGCUUCGGCUACCACUUACAGAUGGACCCGCGGCGCAUUAGCUAGUUGGUGAGGUAACGGCUCACCAAGGCAACGAUGCGUAGCCGACCUGAGAGGGUGAUCGGCCACACUGGGACUGAGACACGGCCCAGACUCCUACAGGAGGCAGCAGUAGGGAAUCUUCCGCAAUGGACGAAAGUCUGACGGAGCAACGCCGCGUGAGUGAUGAAGGUUUUCGGAUCGUAAAGCUCUGUUGUUAGGGAAGAACAAGUACCGUUCGAAUAGGGCGGUACCUUGACGGUACCUAACCAGAAAGCCACGGCUAACUACGUGCCAGCAGCCGCGGUAAUACGUAGGUGGCAAGCGUUGUCCGGAAUUAUUGGGCGUAAAGGGCUCGCAGGCGGUUUCUUAAGUCUGAUGUGAAAGCCCCCGGCUCAACCGGGGAGGGUCAUUGGAAACUGGGGAACUUGAGUGCAGAAGAGGAGAGUGGAAUUCCACGUGUAGCGGUGAAAUGCGUAGAGAUGUGGAGGAACACCAGUGGCGAAGGCGACUCUCUGGUCUGUAACUGACGCUGAGGAGCGAAAGCGUGGGGAGCGAACAGGAUUAGAUACCCUGGUAGUCCACGCCGUAAACGAUGAGUGCUAAGUGUUAGGGGGUUUCCGCCCCUUAGUGCUGCAGCUAACGCAUUAAGCACUCCGCCUGGGGAGUACGGUCGCAAGACUGAAACUCAAAGGAAUUGACGGGGGCCCGCACAAGCGGUGGAGCAUGUGGUUUAAUUCGAAGCAACGCGAAGAACCUUACCAGGUCUUGACAUCCUCUGACAAUCCUAGAGAUAGGACGUCCCCUUCGGGGGCAGAGUGACAGGUGGUGCAUGGUUGUCGUCAGCUCGUGUCGUGAGAUGUUGGGUUAAGUCCCGCAACGAGCGCAACCCUUGAUCUUAGUUGCCAGCAUUCAGUUGGGCACUCUAAGGUGACUGCCGGUGACAAACCGGAGGAAGGUGGGGAUGACGUCAAAUCAUCAUGCCCCUUAUGACCU
rnacentral:rRNA from 1 species